GGGGAAUGGGAAGCGGAGUAUGGGAGGUCAACUCCCAUAAAACUAUUCCCUGGGGGACCCUAGUAAUUGAGCAUGGGAGGGGGAUUUGACGCCCAAAAAAAAACUCGAGCUGCUCGUUAUGUUCCGUGGAGGAAGGGGAAAAGCGUGCGAGAAUCCCAGCGAAAACGCAAGCUGGCGGCAAGCAUGAACAGGAGCUGAGAUAACCCAUUCUUUCCCUUUCCAUCUUGAAUCCAUGGAAAUUUUCAUGCCAAUCCAACCUUGUUAUGUCACAGAUUUUCUCCAUCACUUCCGUUCCCCCUUUGCAGUUCACGAGCAAGAGUCACCAAAAGAUCUUGAAGAAUAGAACUAUCUGGUAAUGGCAUUCCUGGAAAAUCUUUGAGGGAUUUACCACCUUUAGUCAGCAGUUGUUCUAUCUCUGCCAGGAGCAGGCUCUUCAUUUGGUCUGAGAUCCGUCACCUCGCAAAAUAAAAGUAUUGUGCAAAAAAGUUGGCGCAUUUGAGGAGCGGAGGCCCAAUGGGAUGCUUCCUUGAUGCAGUCAUCCCACUCUUUGUCGUCAUUAAGUAGCCCAAGAGCAUAACAUGCGGAUUUGUAUGUUGGAUGUACAACCCCAUCAACUGUUCGUAUUUCUUCAUAUGAUCUGCAUCCUUUCACGGUAUUUAGCAGCAUUCUCCAGUAGUAUUUUUCACCGCUCGUUGGUUGUGCAUAGUAAAUCAUGCCUAUGGUUUUUUUUCCACCACACCUUUUUCCUCCAUUCUUUUUCUUUUGCAUGCCAGGUCCAUUUGUUUGGAAACUCUGCAUAUGUCAAACUGCGAGCUUCCCCAUGCAACUGGUGAAAUUGUAACCUUUCAACCGCAGGCUCUCUAUACUGAAGAGGAAACUGAAAUAUGCGCCAUGCGGCCUCACAUCCAGAUAUGUAGCGGGCAUCAAGUGCGUGUUCGAAGCAUGUUAACUGUGGCCAGCGAAUCCUGAAAUAAAUGAGGCACCACACUGUUCUCAAGGAUGCUGAAGUUAUUUGUACAGAAGAAUCAGUUUCCGGAUAAGAUUCUUUUUCCUAUGGAUUGUUUUCAAACAAAGGAUUUAAAUCAUCUAAAAUCAUUGUUCUAUUGUUAAAGAAGGUUACAUGUGUUGUCACCUUGUAAGGAGAGGACGUAUAUGCUCUGUAUUUGGAGAUCUAAAUUUCAAGUUUAUCGUUGAUUCCUCUGUAUAAUUUCUGUUAAUACAGAGCAUGUGUAAUGAGAUCGGAGAGUUGGUGCAUGUAUUUAAUCAUGGAAGGAGACAUGCAUGUAUUAUUUGUGGAAGGAGUUAAUGAACAUUACCUGCAAGUAGGACGUA